GGAGAGAGAGAGGGAGGGAGGGAGAGGGAGGGAGGGAGAGAGAGAGAGAGAGAGAGAGAGACCUUGUGUUUUCACAGACUCAGUUCUCCUCAUUCUCUGCAGAAUCUAAAUAUUUUACCUCCUUUUUCUCAAACCUUCAGCUGAUCCAGACUUUAAACCAGAUCAGGUUGAUUCUGGUUUCAUGUGUUCAUAUCAGAGUCUGUGGACGACUACAUGUUGGUGAAAACAUGAACUAACUCUGACAGGACACACUGAGAUUGUAUUGAUCUCAUUGAGAGCCGAUCGAUCACAUCCGUGAGUCUGAGUUUAAAAACAAAGACGGUUUAAAAAUGAGGAGGGGGUCAAAGGUCACAGCUGGGCUGACCCGUCCUUUUGGGGGACAACUUCACUUCUGUCCUUAGUGGACGAGUGGAGGAGGGAAGGAAGGAAAAAAGAAGUAAGGAAGGAGGGAAGAAGGAAGGAAAGAAGAAAAGAAUGAGGGAAGAAGGAAGGAAAGAAGAAAAGAAAGAAGGAAGGAAAGAAGAAAAGAAGGAGGGAAGAAGGAAGGAAAGAAAGAAGAGAAGAAGGAAGGAAGGAAAGAAAGAAGUAAGGAAGGAGGGAAGAAGGAAGGAAAGAAGAAAAGAAAGAAGGAAGGAAGGAAAGAAGGAUGGAAGGAAUGAAGGAAAGAAGAAAAGGAAGGAAGGAAAGAAGGAAGGAAGAAAAAAAGGAAGGAAAAAAGUAGAGGAGAAAUGAAGGAAGUGAGGGAGGAAGGAAGGAAAGAAGAAAAGAAGGAGGGAAAGAAAGAAAAAAGAAGAAAGGGAAAAGCAAGGAAGGAAGGAAAGAACCAAGGAAAGAAAGAAGGAAAGAAAGAAGGAAAAGCGAAGAAAGGAAAGAAAGAGAAAGAAAGAGAGGGAACUUAGUGAAAAAUCUGUUUCUGCUGGUGGGGGGGGCGGGGGGGGGGGGUGAGUGAGUGACAGCAUCAGAAAAAAGGGGGAGACUUUCUGAAGAAGGGGAGACUAAUGAGAGACGAUGGAGAGAAGAGAGGAAGGAGAGAGAGAAUCAAACUGUCUGUCUGAAUAUAAAUCAGUGACACAAAGUGGAGGAGAGAGACACACACUAACACACACACACACACACACGUUUGUGGUCGUCUCUUAACUCUGAUGAUCCUCUGACUCCUGAUCCUCCUCCGUCACAAACAGACGUCUCUGAAACAAAGAAAGUCCACCUGAAGUUUUGAAGGAGGACCAGGAGUCUGCCGGGUCAGGGUCCGAGUUCUGGUUCUGUAAUCCUCAGACCCUCAUUGUUCGCAGAGACUCCGCCCACUGAGGUGGAUGUUCUCCAGAAUACGGAGGUAUGAGUCAUCCAACAGUUUUAGUGUGUGUGUGUGUGUGUGUGUGUGUGUGUGUGUGUGUGUGUGUGGACGACUUAAAGUCUGAUAGAGACGAAAACAUCAAAAACACACAGAGAGCUGUCCUGUUUACUGUCAG